AGGUGAUGGCGGCAGGGGAGAGAGCUGAGGGAACCAUGGGGAGAACGGGGCCUUCACCAGGAGAGCAGAGAGAUUGCCAUGGAGCCCCGGCGCUCCUUGAGAAUUCAGCCUGAGUGUGGGAGCAGGGAGCCUGGAGGGCAGGAAGGGAGGAGAGGCUGAGACCUACUGCCCUGAGGAAUGAUCUCACGCCAGGGAGCAGAGCCUGUGGCUGGUGUGGGGAGCGCAUUGGAGCCAUCUACCCAUACCGAGCUGCUUGGGACUUCGUCUCAGCCCCUACACCCUCUCCUUGGAUGGGAUGGCGUACAGACCUCAUUCUCCCUGACUGUCUUUGGAACCCAUGCCUAGGGCUUCCUCGUAGAUUACAAGUUUAUGUUUUCUGUCCAACCUUUGGAUUUCAGAAAAGCUCAAGAAAGAAUAAACUGAAGAAACCAGAAU